AUUGAACGCUGGCGGCAGGCUUAACACAUGCAAGUCGAACGAGUGGCGGACGGGUGAGUAAUGCUUGGGAAUCUAGCUUAUGGAGGGGGAUAACUACGGGAAACUGUAGCUAAUACCGCGUACCAUAGGAUGAGCCCAAGUGGGAUUGGGUAGUUGGUGAGGUAAAGGCUCACCAAGCCGACGAUCUCUAGCUGGUCUGAGAGGAUGACCAGCCACCCUGGGACGGAGACACGGCCCAGACUCCGACGGGAGGCAGCAGUGGGGAAUAUUGCGCAAGGGGGGAAACCUGACGCAGCCAGGCCGCGUGAAUGAAGAGGGCCUUCGGGUUGUAAAGUUCUUUCGGUAGCGAGGCGUUAACUACAGAAGAAGCACCGGCUAACUCCGUGCCAGCAGCCGCGGUAAUAC
rnacentral:rRNA from 1 species